rnacentral:rRNA from 1 species
AUUGAACGCUGGCGGCAGGCUUAACACAUGCAAGUCGAGCGGAGAUGAGGUGCUUGCACCUUAUCUUAGCGGCGGACGGGUGAGUAAUGCUUAGGAAUCUGCCCUUUAGUGGGGGACAACAUUCCGAAAGGAAUGCUAAUACCGCAUACGUCCUACGGGAGAAAGCAGGGGAUCUUCGGACCUUGCGCUAAUUGAUGAGCCUAAGUCGGAUUAGCUAGUUGGUGGGGUAAAGGCCUACCAAGGCGACGAUCUGUAGCGGGUCUGAGAGGAUGAUCCGCCACACUGGGACUGAGACACGGCCCAGACUCCUACGGGGGGCAGCAGUGGGGAAUAUUGGACAAUGGGGGGAACCCUGAUCCAGCCAUGCCGCGUGUGUGAAGAAGGCCUUAUGGUUGUAAAGCACUUGAAGCGAGGAGGAGGCUACUGAGACUAAUACUCUUGGAUAGUGGACGUUACUCGCAGAAUAAGCACCGGCUAACUCUGUG